AUGAUAUUUUUGCUCCAACUCAUCACCAUUGUAGCAGUCUUUAAAAAUGUCCAAAUGGAAGCCCAGCUGGUGGAAUCCGGAGGAGAUGUGAGAAGGCCUGGGGAGUCCCUCCGCCUCUCCUGCCAAGCUUCAGGCUUCACCUUCAGCAGCUACGAUAUGGUCUGGGUGAGACAGGCUCCAGGGAAAGGACUGGAGUGGGUUGCAUCGAUAGACAGUCCUGGAGAUGGAAGCAGGCCCACUUAUGCCAACUCUGUGAAAGGCCAUUUCACCAUUUCCCGGCAAGAUGCCUCCAGCGUGGUUUAUCUCCAAAUGAACAGCUUGAAACCAGAGGACACGGCUGUGUAUUACUGUGCUACAGAGCCACAGUGA